rnacentral:rRNA from 1 species
UACGUAGGCAGCGAGCGUUGUUCGGAGUUACUGGGCGUAAAGGGUGUGUAGGCGGUCCUCUAAGUUUGGUGUGAAAUCUCCCGGCUCAACCGGGAGGGUGCGCCGAAAACUGGAGGGCUAGAGUGCGGGAAGGGAGAGUGGAAUUCCUGGUGUAGCGGUGAAAUGCGUAGAGAUCGGAAAGAACACCAACGGCGAAAGCACUCUGCUGGGCCGACACUGACACUGAGAGACGAAAGCUAGGGGAGCGAAUGGG